UACGAGGGGGGCAAGCGUUGUUCGGAAUUAUUGGGCGUAAAGGGCGCGUAGGCGGUUUGACAAGUCUGAUGUGAAAUCUAUGGGCUCAACCCAUAGCCUGCAUUAGAAACUGUCGGGCUUGAGUAUGGGAGAGGUGAGUGGAAUUUCCGGUGUAGCGGUGAAAUGCGUAGAUAUUGGAAGGAACACCUGUGGCGAAAGCGGCUCACUGGACCAUAACUGACGCUGAGGCACGAAAGCGUGGGGAGCAAACAGG
rnacentral:rRNA from 1 species